AAAAAAUUGAUAUUCGUGUCAAAAAGCACGACUUUUUAGAAAGACGAGAAGACCCUAUAAAGCUUCAUUAAAUUUUUUAAUAGUUAAACUUAGAAAUUUAUAAUUAAAUUUUAAUUCAGCUGGGGCGGCAUCUAAAUAAACAUAAGAAGAUUUAACAUUAUUUAUGGUUUUAAAAAGCUUAAAAUAGAAAUUAAAAUAUGCUACUUUAGGGAUAACAGCAUAAUUUUUUCAUAUAGAUCUUAUAGAAGAAAAAGAGUUGUGACCUCGAUGUUGAAUUGAAGAGCCUUAUUUAAGCAGAAAUAAAUGAAGG
rnacentral:rRNA from 1 species